UAGAGAAAGCACUUUUUGACAAACAGCAAGUAAGUAAGGAGUACAGGGCCCGUGUGCAGUAAUAAUUCAGAAAAAGAAAAUAUCACUACUGUGACAGCACAAAUGAGGUCAUCGUGGUGCCAGGACCAUAAGAGUCAGAGCACUCAAGGAAGUAGCCUCCAGCCCUUGAUCAGCAAUUUCCAGUUAGUCAGAGUCAUGGCCAAGGGCAGAGGGCUAAGCAUGGAAGACAUAUCAACAACAAGUCAGAAGCAUAAGAAGGGAAAAAGUCUCUUAAAAAACAUUAACUGGACUUGGAAGCCAGGGAUGAAACCAGGAACACGGGUCACAGCUGGGAGAAAUGAAGCUAAAUGUAGAGACAGCAUGGAGGAACUGAGUCACAGGCGAAGGAACAAAAGCCAGGGCACACAGCAUGGAACAUCGUGAGUCAGCCACCCUCCGGAUAACAAGCAAGGCCAGCCUUUCCGUGGGAGAGCUGCCCUUGGAGGUGCUGGAUGGCUGGACCUCCAAGUCUUAACUUAGCCAUGACCUGUGACUGCUUUGGGGCCUGCCACCUGACACUUGAGGGUCUAGUGGACACAAGGACUCAAAUGGAAGGAGCUGUAAAAGAAUUCAGAUCCCACCAAAGAGGAAGGAAGGAUAUUAUUCCAAAAUGUGAUCAUGUAAUAAAGCAACAUGUGGAUCUGAGAGCAGACAUUGUAUGAUUUCUGUUCUUUUAAAUGUAAGGUAUGUCUUAUGGCCCAAAGUGUGGUCUGUCUUGGUGAAUGCUCCACGUGAGCUUGAGAAAAAUGUGUAUUGUGAUGAUUUUGGAGGAAGUAGUCUACAGAGAUCCAUUAUACCAGUUGAUUGGUGGUGGUGAGUUCAACCAUGUAAAAAAAAAAGAAAAAGAAACAAGUUGAGAAGGUAGAUGGGCCCAGAUGUCAGAGGACCAGACUUUCAGGUUGAGGAGUUAAGUCAGGAAAUUCAGACACUGAAGGUUCUUUAUAGGAGUGGAAUAACAUCAUAUAAGCAGAAUUCGUGUGCACUAAAAAAAGGCUUUCCUGUUGUACUUUGAAACUCUUUUUCAUUUAUAUUUUAAAUGUUUGAUUUGAUUGUUACACAGUAAUAUUUAAAAUCAUAUAAUAUAGCAGAAUCCAUAAAUCUUAUAAAAUGCUAUGAUAAUGCAAAGUUAAGGCAAUUAGUAAAUAAGUGAAUCCUUUUCCUAACAUUUCUCAAAGUUGGUUCCUUG
rnacentral:lncRNA from 1 species